GGGGAGGGAGGGAGGUGUGGUGGGAGUGAGACAAACAAAUGAUGCUGGCAAAGCCUGCUCAGAUUGCUCCUUUCUUAUUGUGAAUCAAGAGCAACAGAAAGAAGCUCCAUACACGCAAGAACAAGCAAAGAGAUUUAUUUUCUCAUCUCUCAGCAAAUGUCAGAAGAAAAGCAGCACAAUCCAAAGGACCCAGGUUCUGACCAAGAGGCUGCUCUACCUUGCAGGAGGAAGGCUGGUCACGAAUCAGGGAAUGACUUUAGGAAGCCUGUCAGCUCAGUCUCUGUUGACAUCUGUAUGUGCAAGGAGAAAACAAUGUUGCUGUCAUUCAAAAGGACAGUACAAAAGUGCUCAUCGAUAGUCCUUAUAUGUCUCAAAGAUGUGUGGCACUUCUGGAUCAUGCCCUAAAAGAAAAGAUCAUUUUGCCUUUCCUUCUCUCAUCUGUCUUGGAGGCAAACACAAGGGUGGCAAAUGGAGCAGACCAUGCAGAAAUAGGACCAUUGUCUUGAGGAUGACAGAGCCAUCUACAACUACUGGGCUGCUUGCCUCUGAAUAAUUACAGGAGAAAGGAAUAAAUUUAAAACCUGUUUGAGCCCCUAAACUUUUUGAGUCUCUUUGUUACAGCAUCUUAGACUCUACCUAACCUUUAUUGCACACUUAAAUAAAAUCUGAAG
rnacentral:lncRNA from 1 species